rnacentral:rRNA from 1 species
UGAGGAAUAUUGGUCAAUGGGCGAUGGCCUGAACCAGCCAAGUAGCGUGAAGGAUGACUGCCCUAUGGGUUGUAAACUUCUUUUAUAAAGGAAUAAAGUCGGGUAUGCAUAGCC